GAUGAACGCUGGCGGCGUGCCUAAUACAUGCAAGUCGAGCGAACGGACGAGAAGCUUGCUUUUCUGAUGUUAGCGGCGGACGGGUGAGUAACACGUGGAUAACCUACCUAUAAGACUGGGAUAACUUCGGGAAACCGGAGCUAAUACCGGAUAAUAUUUUGAACCGCAUGGUUCAAAAGUGAAAGACGGUCUUGCUGUCACUAAUAGAUGGAUCCGCGCUGCAUUAGCUAGUUGGUAAGGUAACGGCUUACCAAGGCAACGAUGCAUAGCCGACCUGAGAGGGUGAUCGGCCACACUGGAGCUGAGACACGGUCCAGACUCCUACGGGAGGCAGCAGUAGGGAAUCUUCCGCAAUGGGCGAAAGCCUGACGGAGCAACGCCGCGUGAGUGAUGAAGGGCUUCGGAUCGUAAAACUCUGUUAUUAGGGAAGAACAUAUGUGUAAGUAACUGUGCACAUCUGGACGGUACCUAAGCAGAAAGCCACGGCUAACUACGU
rnacentral:rRNA from 1 species